UAGGGCAGUAUUUGAUUGUUUGUCGUGAUUGUGAAAAAUGUCACCGGUGUAUGUCAUUCAUACUGCAUCGAUAAUUGCAAUAGUUUGUGGAUGGGAAAUACGCAGCGCUUGUUCAGAAGGUUACCUCAGUGAUGGCAAUAGCAGAUGAACUAAAAAAUAUGAUACAUGAGGAAAAAUAUGCAGAGAUCAGAGCAGAACAAACCAGCCAGGGCAAAAUGAGAAAGCUCUAUGAGGCGCUUAAUGCUGGAGGACACCGAGUGAAAAAUGCCUUUUAUUAUGCUCUGAGAAAUCAUGAACCAUACCUCUUCAGAGAUUUGGGUGGUGAGGCAAUGGAUUACAUCGAUAACAACCAGCUCCAGUUAAACUGAAUACCCCCUGCACCCAAGAAACUGAAGACCCCUGCAACCAAGACAUGGAAACAGACGUCACUUGGAAAAGCUGAAGAUGAAGGAAUGUAAAAAAAAUGCUGUUAAAGGAACAGUUCAAACAAAUUAAAACUGUCAUCAGUUAUUCUCCCUAAUGUUC